CAGUAGCACUGGUUGUUAGUUUUGGUGAAAAUUAUCAUCAUCGUAGUAUAUUAUUGCAUUAAUAUCAGCAUAUCACGUCCACAAGUUUCCCAUUGCUAUUUUGGUUGAUUUGUGUUCGUAAAAUGGGAUGAAUCCGAUAAGACCGAAAGCUGAUGUAAAAAUGGUGAAAUACAUGCUCCUGGAUCAGUCGGAGAUGCAGCUUGAUGAAAAUGAGAAUUGUACAUGGCGUUGGGAGAUGCAUCUGCAGCAGUGAUGCUGACCCGGAGCUGAAGGCUUUCCCUCCACGGGCCUCUCGCUCAACUGUGCUUCACUUUGGCUCACAGAGUAGCCUCAGACCUUCACCUCGUUCAUCAGGUUGGCAUUGGAUCAUAUAAUUUCGAUGUUGGAAAUGUCUUCAGAAAUCUUUACUCUGGCUGUUCAGUAAUUUCAUUACGUAAUUCAACUGGUAAGUAUCUAAAGCCAAAUUAGCUAAAGCAAACUUUAUUAUUUUUAAGCCUUAAAUUUAUGUCUGAGAUAAAUAAAAAUGUCUGCAAUGUAUUAAA